AUUGAACGCUGGCGGCAGGCCUAACACAUGCAAGUCGGACGGUAGCACAGAGAGCUUGCUCUUGGGUGACGAGUGGCGGACGGGUGAGUAAUGUCUGGGGAUCUGCCCGAUAGAGGGGGAUAACCACUGGAAACGGUGGCUAAUACCGCAUAACGUCGCAAGACCAAAGAGGGGGACCUUCGGGCCUCUCACUGUCGGAUGAACCCAGAUGGGAUUAGCUAGUAGGCGGGGUAAUGGCCCACCUAGGCGACGAUCCCUAGCUGGUCUGAGAGGAUGACCAGCCACACUGGAACUGAGACACGGUCCAGACUCCUACGGGAGGCAGCAGUGGGGAAUAUUGCACAAUGGGCGCAAGCCUGAUGCAGCCAUGCCGCGUGUAUGAAGAAGGCCUUCGGGUUGUAAAGUACUUUCAGCGGGGAGGAAGGCGACGCGGUUAAUAACCGCGUCGAUUGACGUUACCCGCAGAAGAAGCACCGGCUAACUCCGUGCCAGCAGCCGCCGUAA
rnacentral:rRNA from 1 species